UACGGGGGGGUGCAAACGUUGCUCGGAAUCAUUGGGCGUAAAGCGCACGUAGGCGGUUCGUUAUGUCGGAUGUGAAAGCCCUUGGCUUAACCGAGGAAGUGCAUCCGAAACUGGCGAGCUAGAGUACGAAAGAGGAUCGCGGAAUUCCCGGUGUAGAGGUGAAAUUCGUAGAUAUCAGGAGGAACACCUGCGGCGAAGGCGGGUUGCUGGGCCGACACUGACGCUGAUGCGCGAAAGCCAGGGGAGCGAACGGG
rnacentral:rRNA from 1 species